rnacentral:rRNA from 1 species
AACGAACGCUGGCGGCAGGCUUAACACAUGCAAGUCGAACGCCCCGCAAGGGGAGUGGCAGACGGGUGAGUAACGCGUGGGAACAUACCCUUUUCUACGGAAUAGCUCUGGGAAACUGGAAUUAAUACCGUAUACGCCCUACGGGGGAAAGAUUUAUCGGGGAAGGAUUGGCCCGCGUUGGAUUAGCUAGUUGGUGGGUAAAGGCCUACCAAGGCGACGAUCCAUAGCUGGUCUGAGAGGAUGAUCAGCCACAUUGGGACUGAGACACGGCCCAAACUCCUACGGGAGGCAGCAGUGGGGAAUAUUGGACAAUGGGCGCAAGCCUGAUCCAGCCAUGCCGCGUGAGUGAUGAAGGCCUUAGGGUUGUAAAGCUCUUUCACCGAUGAAGAUAAUGACGGUAGUCGGAGAAGAAGCCCCGGCUAACUUCGUGCCAGCAGCCGCGGUAACAC